rnacentral:tRNA from 7 species
GGCUAGGUAGCUCAGGGGUAGAGCAGGAGCAUCAUAAUCUCCGGGUCGGGGGUUCGAAUCCCUCCUUAGCCACAA